GGAGAACAGGUGUGAGAGGUGACAGUGAAGCCCAAGAAGACACAACAAGGGGAUGAAAGGUAAGGGAGCUGGGUGGGUGGAGAAGGCAGGAGUGAGUGCAAAAGAGCUAGGAACCAUGACUCAGGGACAGAGAGGAAGGGAGCUAAGUCUUAUGCAUGGGGAAAGGGAAGCUGGGGAAUAUUUCUGAUUCUGAGAUGUUUGCUCUUGGUGCUAGGUUGAGCAGCUUAGAAAGAAAGUUGGUCUUCCCACAAGGUUAAAGGACUCUUCCUGACAAGCUCCUCUCCCCAGCCUCCUCAGCAUCUCCCCUCACCCUCCCAAGGGCCUCACCUGCCAGGGCCUUAAUGCGAGAUCUCUCAAAGAGACGGGCUGAGCUGCUGUCAUUGUCCCAGUCUGAGUCAGGCAGGUCCCAGCGGUUGUUGAUGUCGCUGUACUGGCCCUGGAUCUCCAAGCUGUCGAAGUCUGUGGGUGACAGGGUGCUGCUCAUGGUGAUCUGCUCUGCUGUCCUGAGCGCCAAAGGCUGUGGUUGGUUUCUCUGUCAAUAACAAUCAGCCCUGGAGGGAGAGGAGAAGCCAUGGUGGGGAAGCAGACGGACAGGAACCCAAGGGAUGAACAUGGAGUGAAACACGAAGGGAGUGGUGUUCCAGAGUGGUGCAGCAGAGCGGAAGGGCUCCCGAGUCUCAGGCCGGAGAGGGACAGCAAAUUGAUGUCUUUCUUAGAACCGGAGAAAAACUCAAGGCAAGAUGGGAUUGGAGAAGACCUUCUGCAGGAAUACUCUCAGGGUUAAGCUCUACAGUUCAGGAUCACGGACUCUCAGACUUGCAUGAAUUCCAGUGACCCUGGAGGAUUAUUAAAACAUAGACUACUGGGCCCUGCUCCCCCCCCUCCCCGCCCCCGCCGGGUUUCUGAUUCAGUUGAUCUGGGGUGUGGCCCAGAAAUGUACAUUUCUAACCUGUUCCCAGAUGAUACUAAAGUAAUGAUUUGGGAACUGCACUUCAAGUACCUCUGUAGGUUAGGGGAGGCUAGGAGGACUGGAGAGACACAAUGUUUCGGGGGUGAGUGUGACCUGAGGUUAGCUUCUGGGUGGCUUUAGGCUCUAACCAAUGAUAAACUCAAGUAUAAUUUCCCUGAGAAACCCCAAGACCCACAAAGAGCCAGAAGCCUCAGGCAAUGAGACAGGAAGUGAAGAUGGAGUGGUCUCUAGAUCUAAUGAGACAAGUAGAUCUGAUGCCCCAACACAGGCGAAUCACAAAUGUGCGGAAGAGGGACAAUAAGGCUGGAGAAGCUGGGGGGGGGGGUAGCAGAGUUGAACAGGUGACAGCAGGAUGAAUAAUAAAUGAGAAGAAGUGGGGACC